UGCGCAGGUGGGGAUGUAAGUCAGUAGUGAAAUCCCACAGCUUAACUGUGGAACUGUUAUUGAUACUGGUUUUCUUGAAUAUAGUUGAGGUAGGCGGAAUGUGUAAUGUAGCGGUGAAAUGCUUAGAUAUUACACAGAACACCGAUUGCGAAGGCAGCUUACUAAGCUAUGAUUGACGCUGAGGUACGAAAGCGUGGGGAGCGAACAGGAUUAGAUACCCUGGUAGUC
rnacentral:rRNA from 1 species